CGCAGCGAAGUGCGAUAAGCAAUGCGAAUUGCAGAACCGCGAGUCAUCAGAUUUUUGAACGCAAGUGGCGGCAGCCUCGGCAGUCAUGUUUGUUUCAGUGUGUCCGGUUAAUUACAUCAUGGAAUUUAAUGUGAUUGAGGAGACUCUCUCACAAAAUACGGAGUAGUGUCAAUGAAGACUCCAAACGAAACAGUCACUAACUGGUGAUAAUCGUUUGAGGAUCGGAAUUGGUGAAUCACUAUUCAACAACAAUUUAUCCAUUAUGGCACCUG
rnacentral:misc_RNA from 1 species